GCCUCCGUGUAUGAAAUGGGCUUUAGGCCUUGCCUUAAACUGUGUGUGUGUGUGUGUGUGUGUGUGUGUGUGUCUGUCUUUUAUUGAUGUAUUUCAUUAUGCCUUGCCUUAUGGUGACUGAUGUUAGUCCACUGAUCUUACUGCAGUAGAAUCAGGCAUAGCUGUCAUGAACAUGCUCAGGUUUGUUUAGGCUGAGAAGAAAUGAUGGGAGAUAUAUUUGUUAGUAUUUAAGUAAUGCAGUUCACAUGAGAAUCAUCACCUACUAUGGAGACACAGAGCAGACUCUGCUGUUCUGUGCAGUCAGUUGAAGUUUGUAGCCUAGUUAACAGGUGUGUUUGUAGCCUAGUUAACAGGUGUGUGUUUAGCCUAGUUAACAGGUGUGUUUGUAGCGUUUGUGUGACAUGCUGUGACGGUGAUAUACGCUGUGACAUGCUGUGACGGUGUGACAUGCUGUGACGGUGAUAUACGCUGUGACAUGCUGUGACGGUGUGACAUGCUGUGACGGUGAUAUACGCUGUGACAUGCUGUGACAGUGUGACAUGCUGUGACGUGACGGUG
ensembl:lncRNA